rnacentral:tRNA from 1 species
GCUAAAAAAGCUUUACUAAGCACUGGUCUUGUAAACCAAAGAUUGAAUAAUAAUUAAAUAUUCUUUUAGUA